rnacentral:rRNA from 1 species
UACAGAGGGUGCAAGCGUUUAAUCGGAAUUACUGGGCGUAAAGCGUGCGUAGACGGUUAUGUAAGUCAGGUGUGAAAGCCCCGGGCUCAACCUGGGAAUUGCAUUUGAGACUGCAUAGCUAGGGUGCGGAAGAGGGAAGCGGAAUUUCCGGUGUAGCGGUGAAAUGCGUAGAUAUCGGAAGGAACACCAGUGGCGAAAGCGGCUUCCUGGUCCAGCACCGACGUCAGGCACGAAAGCGUGGGGAGCAAACAGG